rnacentral:rRNA from 1 species
CCUACGGGAGGCAGCAGUGGGGAAUAUUGCACAAUGGGGGAAACCCUGAUGCAGCGACGCCGCGUGAGGGAAGAAGUAUUUCGGUAUGUAAAGCUCUAUCAGCAGAGAAGAUAAGUAAGGUACAUGACUAAGAAGCCCUGGCUAACUACGUGCCAGAAGCCGCGGUAAUACGUAGGGGGCAAGCGUUAUCCGGAUUUACUGGGUGUAAAGGGGGCGUAGGUGGUAGGGCAAGUCAGAUGUGAAAGCUCGGGGCUCAACCCUGGUACUGCAUUUGAAACUGUCAAGCUGGAGUGCAGUAGAGGUAAGCGGAAUUCCUAGUGUAGCGGUGAAAUGCGUAGAUAUUAGGAGGAACACCAGUGGCGAAGGCGGCUUACUGGACUGUAACUGACACUGAGGCACGAAAGCGUGGGGAGCAAACAGGAUUAGAUACCCUUGUAGUC